CAAUAGCGUAUAUUAAAGUUGUUGCAGUUAAAAAGCGCGUAGUUGGAUUUCUGGUUGAAGCGACCGGUCGGGCGUUGAUUCGUCUGCACUGGAGUCGGUUUUGGCCAUCCUCUAGGAAAGUGCGUCUGGUAUUAAGUUAUCGGGCGUAUGAUCCUGGUCUUUUACUGUGAAAAAAUUAGAGUGUUUAAAGCAGGCCUUCGCCUUGAAUACAUUAGCAUGGAAUAAUAAGAUAGGACUUUGGUCUAUUUUGUUGGUUUGCAGACCGAAGUAAUGAUUAAUAGGGAUAGUUGGGGGUAUUUAUAUUCCGAUGUCAGAGGUGAAAUUCUUAGAUUUUCGGAAGAUAAACUUAUGCGAAAGCAUUUACCAAGGAUGUUUUCAUUAA
rnacentral:rRNA from 1 species